rnacentral:rRNA from 1 species
UACGGGGGGGGCAAGCGUUGUUCGGAAUUACUGGGCGUAAAGGGCGCGUAGGCGGUUGGAUAAGUCAGCUGUGAAAUCCCCGGGCUUAACCUGGGAAUGGCAUUUGGGACUGCAAGGCUCGAGUGCGGCAGAGGAGACUGGAAUUCCUGGUGUAGCAGUGAAAUGCGUAGAUAUCAGGAGGAACACCGAUGGCGAAGGCAGGUCUCUGGGCUGACACUGACGCUCAUGCACGAAAGCGUGGGGAGCAAACAGG